AUACUUACCUGGACGGGGUCAAUGGGCGAUCAGGAAGGCCCAUGUCUUAGGUUGGUGACCUCCAUUGCACGUAGGAGGGGCGCCAGCCUAAGAUCUGCCCAAGAGGCAGAGCCUACGUCAUAAUUUGUGGUGGUGGGGGCCUGCGUUCGCGCGGCCCCUGC